UACGAAGGGGGGCUAGCGUUGUUCGGAAUCACUGGGCGUAAAGCGCACGUAGGCGGACUCUUAAGUCGGGGGUGAAAUCCUGGAGCUCAACUCCAGAACUGCCCUCGAUACUGAGAGUCUUGAGUCCGGGAGAGGUGAGUGGAACUGCGAGUGUAGAGGUGAAAUUCGUAGAUAUUCGCAAGAACACCAGUGGCGAAGGCGGCUCACUGGCCCGGUACUGACGCUGAGGUGCGAAAGCGUGGGGAGCAAACAGG
rnacentral:rRNA from 1 species